rnacentral:rRNA from 1 species
UACAGAGGGUGCGAGCGUUGUUCGGAAUUAUUGGGCGUAAAGGGCGCGUAGGCGGUGCGGUAAGUCACCUGUGAAAUCUCCUGGCUCAACUGGGAGCUUGCAGGCGAAACUGCCGUGCUGGAGUGUGGGAGAGGUGAGUGGAAUUCCCGGUGGUAGCGGUGAAAUGCGUAGAUAUCGGGAGGAACACCUGUGGCGAAAGCGGCUCACUGGACCACAACUGACGCUGAGGCGCGAAAGCUAGGGGAGCGAAGUGGGA